UACGAAGGGGGCUAGCGUUGUUCGGAAUUACUGGGCGUAAAGCGCGCGCAGGCGGUUCUUCAAGUCAGUGGUGAAAGCCCGGAGCUCAACUCCGGAACUGCCAUUGAAACUGUGAAACUUGAGGAUGAGAGAGGUGAGUGGAAUUCCCAGUGUAGAGGUGAAAUUCGUAGAUAUUGGGAAGAACACCGGUGGCGAAGGCGGCUCACUGGCUCAUUUCUGACGCUCAGGCGCGACAGCGUGGGGAUCGAAACAGG
rnacentral:rRNA from 1 species